rnacentral:rRNA from 1 species
UAGGGAAUCUUCCGCAAUGGGCGAAAUCCUGACGGAGCAACGCCGAGUGAGUGAUGAAGGUCUUCGGAUCGUAAAACUCUGUUAUUAGGGAAGAACAUAUGUGUAAGUAACUGUGCACAUCUUGACGGUACCUAAUCAGAAAGCCACGGCUAACUACGUGCCAGCAGCCGCGGUAAUACGUAGGUGGCAAGCGUUAUCCGGAAUUAUUGGGCGUAAAGCGCGCGUAGGCGGUUUUUUAAGUCUGAUGUGAAAGCCCACGGCUCAACCGUGGAGGGUCAUUGGAAACUGGAAAACUUGAGUGCAGAAGAGGAAAGUGGAAUUCCAUGUGUAGCGGUGAAAUGCGCAGAGAUAUGGAGGAACACCAGUGGCGAAGGCGACUUUCUGGUCUGUAACUGACGCUGAUGUGCGAAAGCGUGGGGAUCAAACA